rnacentral:rRNA from 1 species
GAUGAACGCUAGCGGCAGGCUUAAUACAUGCAAGUCGAACGGGAUUGAGAAGCUUGCUUUUCAUGAGAGUGGCGCACGGGUGCGUAACACGUAUGCAACCUACCUUGUCCAGGGGGAUAGCCCGUUGAAAGACGGAUUAAGACCGCAUAACAUUGAGCUGUGGCUUCACAAAUCAAUCAAAUAUUUAUAGGGACAAGAUGGGCAUGCGCCUGAUUAGGUAGUUGGCGGGGUAAUGGCCCACCAAGCCGACGAUCAGUAGGUGAUCUGAGAGGAGUACCCACCACACUGGUACUGAGACACGGACCAGACUCCUACGGGAGGCAGCAGUAAGGAAUAUUGGUCAAUGGGCGAAAGCCUGAACCAGCCAUGCCGCGUGCAGGAAGACGGCCCUACGGGUUGUAAACUGCUUUUAUACGGGAAUAACCCCGGUUUCGUGAAACCGGCUGAAUGUACCGUAAGAAUAAGGAUCGGCUAACUCCGUGCCAGCAGCCGCAGUAA